AUAACUGUAUGAUGGGUAUGUCACUCACUAUACAAUUGGUUACAAGGAAUAUGUGAAAAAUCAUUAACUGAUCUGCAGGUCAUCAAUGAUUGGGAGACACAGUGACAGAGACUUGACGGUUUCUGCACUGCUGCUCCUAAGGUGGAGGGAAACGAUAUUCAGUCUCCUGACGUGGCAACUCUGCCACCUUUGCCUUUCCUUUCCUGUUUGAGUAUGCACCACGUGUGCAUUCUGCUGAUGUGGAUCGUUGACCACGUACAUAAUCUUCUUUCUUUGACACUCCCCCGCAAGAUGGGCUAUAGAUAUUUGCUACUUCCAUCUUGUUCAUGUGAGAAACCAAUGUUUCCUUAUCCAAUGAUUUGGUGAACAUAUCGGUCAAUUGCAAUCCACUUUAAACAUGUGAAGUAACUACCACGCCUUCUUUAAUCUUUCUCGAAUUAGGUGGCAAUCUAAUU
rnacentral:lncRNA from 1 species